UUUAAAGAACGAGUGUCAGCACAACGUAAAAAAAAAAACAGAGGAGCCUACCGAAGAUGAGGCCGUUACAGCUCGCCUUUAUGUGUUCUCCUCGGGAUAGCGUCAUAUAAAGAACGAGGGUCAGCACAAGAUAUAAAAAAAAAAAAAA